rnacentral:rRNA from 1 species
UACGUAGGGUGCAAGCGUUAAUCGGAAUUACUGGGCGUAAAGCGCACGUAGGCGGCUUUGUAAGUUAGAGGUGAAAGCCCAGGGCUCAACCCUGGAAUUGCCUUUAAGACUGCAUCGCUUGAACAUCGGAGAGGUAAGUGGAAUUCCGAGUGUAGAGGUGAAAUUCGUAGAUAUUCGCAAGAACACCAGUGGCGAAGGCGGCUCACUGGUCCGGUACUGACGCUGAGGUGCCGAAAGCGUGGGGAGCAAACAGG